GGUUGCGAUCAUACCAGCACUAAUGCACCGGAUCCCAUCAGAACUCCGCAGUUAAGCGUGCUUGGGCGAGAGUAGUACUAGGAUGGGUGACCCCCUGGGAAGUCCUCGUGUUACAACCC
rnacentral:rRNA from 1 species